UAAAUUUUAGAAUUGAGAGCGUAAAAAUUUGUAAAAAUUGAGGUUAGAAAUUUUAAAAUUAAUGCUCUUUUACUCUUGGAGGAUUUUUGACAGAUAACCGGCAAAUUCUUAAUUUUGUUUAUGUGAAGUGUUGUGGUGUUGCAUUGUGAAUUUUAAAACGUUUUCAAAGUGCAUUUCGUUGUAUUACAUAUAAAUAGUCAAACUAGGGCCAACAACGUAAAGGUAGGUCCAGAACGAGUCUAGUUAAUAAAGAAACUGGCAUCGCAAAGUGAGUUUUUAAACAUGUUUUAGUCGACAAUUAUUUAUAAUAAUCUAGAAUAAAAUAAUGUUGAAUGAACAACGUUAGAAAAAAAUAUGAUGAUAAAAACACGAUAAAAUUAUUUGAAGGCAGAGAAGCGUAACAAAUGACAAUCCCAUAUGUUAUCUCAAAUCUGAAACUCACUCCAAUUUGCCGGACAAUAAACGCAUAACAUCACGACCGUGAAAUCCUUUCAUUCGCCCCGUGUCAGUGACACACCACAAUUAUUAUUACUAUUACCGCAUAUUACGCAA